rnacentral:rRNA from 1 species
GGUAUCAUAGAGGGUGAGAAUCCCGUGCAUGAUCAGACCAAGAUACUUAAUAUUCGCUUUCUAAGAGUCGAGUUGUUUGGGAAUGCAGCUCAAAAUGGGUGGUAGACUUCACCUAAGGCUAAAUAUCAGCGAGAGACCGAUAGCGAACAAGUACUGUGAAGGAAAGAUGAAAAGAACUUUGAAAAGAGAGUUAAAUAGUACGUGAAAUUGUUGAAAGGGAAACGAUUGAAGUCAGUCAUGCUAGUGAAAAUUCAGUUUGACGGGUUUGGGUUUGGAAGUAGAGGCAGGGUCAAACCGUUCUCUUUUGAACUCGGGAUUUGUCGGAUGCACUUUUCUUUGGCAGGUUAGCGUCGAUUU